GGUUAUUUAUAUAGUUGUAUGCAUGAACUGAAUAAAACGAGUCCUACAAUUUUUUAGAAACUUACCUAUAACCAAUAAGUGAGGAACGACGUAUUAUUCUGCUUAAUACGGAUUGAAGAAUGACUGAUCCAAGCAAUUGGUUCGUACUCAAGAACUUUAAGUGUCCCGCUGCAGGAUGUACUAAUAAAGAGGGAUAUUCGUGGAACUGCCCAGCGCAUGGAUCGCAAUAUUACAUAAAUGGUCUUGGCAAGAUACGAUGCGGGAAUGGGUGUUAUGAAAACAUUUGUCAAGUGCCGUGGACGUGUCCGCAUAGCUUUCACAACGGUGGAAACAAUACGGGGUCGGACUUGGAAAGUAUGGUGUUUUCUCUGUCCCUAAAUGUCACCCUGAUGCGAGAAGCGGGUGCUCAAUGGACAAGCGCUUUAAUAACGGAGCUCGGAAGACAAUAUGCACGCUAACAAUACUAAGACUCAUUUUAAUGAUGUUAUACCUUAUGACGGUUUGAUGUUUGCUCAAAAGAUUUUUCGGGUGGUGUAUUUAAAUAUAUUUACACAUUUGUAUGUUUUGCUGAAGAUACACCAAUCAACUUUUCUAACAGGUCACUUGUUUUUCUAUGAUCCAAAACUAAAUUAUACCAUUUAUAUUUGUCGUAUCUCACUGUCAUCUCGUGUGAGUAUUUCUGUAAAAGAUUUACUAUGCCACUGAUAAGUAAUUGCCUGGUCAUGUUCGCGUUACCAUUCUUCGAAUGCGAUUAUUUAUUAUUUGGAACAUCCGCUUUUCAUCAAAUCGUUAAAAAUUCAGUAUUGUACCUUACAGGUAAAUGGCAUAAUGCCUGAACCAUACGCACUAAGAAUCUUUAAAAAUUGUUUGAUAAAGAUUCAACCUCGUGUUUGUUUUUACUCAAUUUACCUCAAUUUUGGUUUGAACAGAACAUUAUUCAGACCAAGAGUCAUCACGAUUCUAAUUUUGAACCCCCAAUUAAUCCUUAUUCAAACAAAAUAAAUAUUAAAACCCGUCAGAUUUCUAGUAAAUAGCAUUCCAACCCAUGUUGUUUAAUAGUUAAAUACAAAACUGUAAUAUCAGCGCACUCAAUAUAUAAUUUUCUUGUUCCUUUAUCUCAAUUGUGUGCGUAUUAUUUUCCAAUUAAGCUACUAACCAAUAAAAAAGAUGUUGUUCCGUGUAUAAAGUUUAUAUGCACAAUUUCUAAAGCUAAAGUAUGCGUACGAUUGAUACGUGUUAUUGAUGUUCGAGUAAAGUAAUUUCCUAGAAUUAAAUAUUUUGGUCAUUAUGUCGUUUUAAGUCAAGACUGAUUUGAGGUAAUGCAAAAGAGAAUGAAUCUUCCGUAAUGGGUCAGAACGUUUAAUAACUUAGUUCUCAAUAACUGUUGUAAAAUAUAAAAAGAAAUAAUGUAAUAAAUAGAUUCAUUUUGCAUGGUUUUCUGUUUAAUUAUUAUUAACCCAGACAGCUUGUGAUAUACAUGCUUAUAAUAAUUAAUUGGGAUCAUACAUGAGUUUGUUCUUUUCGAAACGAUUUUAAAUACGGAAGAAAGAGACUAUCUGAGAUUUUUUAAGUUUCUUAGGCUAAACCUGAGUUUAAGAUUUGUAACUGUUCUUAACCGUGAACUGUGGUCACGUCGUGUGUAUGCAGUGGUUUAAACGUUAAGAGACUGUAUCCGAAAAAAUGUAUUCUACUCCAAUAAUAACAUUUACUGUGUGUAUAUUGUUUGACUAUUAAAAUUCGGUUACCAAAA